UCUGCAGGCUGACGCUCUAUCUAUUGAGCCAAAUCAGCUAGGGCAUGCAUGUGCUUCUGGCAUUGGCUUUUGAGAGGAGAGUGAGGGAAAAUUUGGGGAGGGAGGUGAUUCCCACCCCUGGGAAUGCCGACACAGAUGGCAUAUGAGUGAGACUGUCACAGAUUCUGAGUGGAACUCAGUCACCCCCUCCUGUGGGGCAUCAUCGCUGAAUACAGCUUUAUAUUGCAGGUGAACAGGAAAUGGACUUAAUGGACUGAGUUCAUUUAGAUGGAGGAUCAAAUGAAUGAGUGGAAUCAGAAGACAUCCAUUUGGCCGUCAGUCUUUGUUUAAGCCACUCGACCACCCAACUUCUCUACUGAAAUGGCAUCGCAGUCCCCGUAUAAAGUCUGCGGCGGAGACAUGAGUACGUGCUAAGUGCUUUGAAGAUGAACAUCACCACGCGAAAGUGAGCAAGGUUUCUUCCUGGGGCUGGAAACGGCAUCUUUUGUGUUUUCCUGCUGCGCCGUGAGUCACCUCGGUUGACACUGCAGAAAAUUUCCUCUCCCAACAGAAGAGCAGGACACAGUGGUGACAGCCUUUUAUUGGGUUUGCCAGGCCAAUUAAGAAAGAGCCGGAGCCCGUUCACAUCUGGACAAGGGAUUACACACCGGGCACAUUUGCUACCUAUGGAUGCAGGUCACAUUUUACAUGAAUCUGUACAUUAAGAAAUUGCAUGACAAUUAUCUUAUUGAGACAUGCAUGAGGAGCAACCAUCCCCUCAAAGCACUGAAGACCGACAAAAAGCACUGUCCCUCCAGCAAGCUUGGCUCACCUCUCUCAGUGCAUGUAAAGAUCCCAUCAAGCCCUCGCCCAAACCAAGGGGACGUUGAGCUUUAUCUGCUUGGAAGAUGUGAGUAUUUUUAGUGGGAGGAGCUUAGAAGAACGGCAGGUUUGGAAGUGAAGUGUGAACCGUUGGGCAAGACCCAGCCCCGUCUGUCUGUCUGAAUCUGGCCCCGACCGACCAGCCCACUGGCUCCCAGGGAAAGGAGCCAGCAAGGUGUCCCAUGUCCCAGGCUUGGCAGGAGUUCUCCUCCCCACACCCAAAUACCUCGUUUGUCUGUUUUCCGCCUGCCACCUGCUGGGACACAGUGAUAAUCAGUCAUGCUAGGUUGUCGGUUGACAAUUACUGAGUUUUGACAGGCCCCUUCAGGAAGAUUGCACGACCCCCAUGCAAGUUCGGAUCCGAGCCACUGGUGGCCGCGCUCCUCUUUGCGCCCAGUGGGGAACUCGGUGCGUCACUGUCAGCCUGGUAGCACCUCCCUCCCAGCUGCACCCCUCAAUUGGUCACAGCUGAGAGAGGCAUUCACAGCAUGGCGAGCAGGGGCCACUCCCACUGAGGGAGGAGUGUGGGGAGCUCACUGUGGGGAGGGGGCUGAGGGAGGGAGUCGUGGGGGUGGAGAGGCGGUUGGAUGCAUCAGAGGGAAUUGCAGAGCUGCUGGAUGAGGUCCUGAAAACGGGCUAAAAUGACCAAGGGGAGGAGAGAAACUCCUCUCGGACAGAUUCAGAUGCAGGCAAAGUCCAAGAGACCUGGAGGAGUUAAUGGGAAAAUAAUUCUUAUCUGCUUCCUGCCAAUCUGUAGCCAUUGACAGAGCAGAAGUAAUUAUAGAUACUGUAGACGCAUGCAGCAUUAAGUAAAGUGUUUCAAAUUA